UACAGGAACUGGCAAUCCGUUCUCUUCAGGAUGGCAAUCGUGGAGCUGCUCAUGUGGAUCCUCAAGGCUGGAAACACAAACCAGAACAGGGGACGCCCUCCAUGGACCAGACAACUGCAUCACCCGAGUCCUGUCCAGAAACCCUCCUGACAAGAUUAGCACGUCAUCCUCUGUGUUCAUCUUCCUGGGACCUUGAGUGAUGGAGUAACUGACCCUAACACAUGCAGGUGAUGGCUAAGACAGUUUCUAUUUAGUCUAAGUCUGUUUGACUUUCACCUCAUUCUUGUCUUGAUAAUUUGAUUUCGUUGCACAUGCUAAGAACAGAUUGGCAGUCUAACUACCAAAAUCUUGUCCUGGGCCCUGUUUUUCUCAGCUCUUACGAUAAUCUACCACAGCUUUUCUUCCCUGUAACACACAUUUUUAUUCUCAUCAUUACCAUUAAUAUUGAUCGAGCAUCUAUUGUAUGUAGUGCAUGGUUCUUCAGUUUUGCCAGACACAUGCCUUGUAAACUGUAGAAGACUGAUCCAAUCGAAAGGAACCUGGAACCUUCGUGCAGUAACAAAUUCCUAGACACUUUGUCUCUGCUAAAAUCGGUUUCCAAAAAAAACCAAAUAAACAGGCAAGAUGAACUCGA